rnacentral:lncRNA from 12 species
UAAAGAUACUACAUAAGUACAGUGACCCAAAGACCCAAUGUCUAUUUACCUUCUGUAUCUCUUAAGGUCCUGCUGAAGAAGCAAAAAGCAAAUAUAAAGGGAAGCAGAAAAUCAUAAGGCUGGAAACAUGAAACAGAAUUAACGGUCCAGGAAAACAGAAAACCAACCAAUAGAAAAAUAGAAAACCUAGUGAAACACUCACCCAAGACAGCAGAGGAAAGAGCACUCAACAAAGCUUCCUAAAGUUCCCUCACCAACUUCAGUUCGAUUGCAUUCAGAGGAUCAAGUUCAGCCAAUUGUUACCUACGUUUUUGCUGUUCUCAAGCUUUAUGCGUAUCACACUACCAAUUGUCAUUCCGGCUUCCAGAACAGACUAAUACUCCAGAGCCAAGGCAGAGAUGAUUGCAGAAUGAAA